rnacentral:misc_RNA from 1 species
AACGAGGCCGACCUGCGGCUGAGUUACCUGCGGAGGGAUCAUUAAUAAAUGUUACUUCGGUAACUUAAUUAAUCCCUAACACCUGUGCAUCUUGUCGCUUCGGCGUCAUUUUAUAAACAUCAGUGUAAUGAAUGUAAAGUAUUAUAACAAAUACAACUUUUAACAAUGGAUCU